AUUGAACGCUGGCGGCAGGCUUAACACAUGCAAGUCGAGCGGGGGAAGGUAGCUUGCUACCGGACCUAGCGGCGGACGGGUGAGUAAUGCUUAGGAAUCUGCCUAUUAGUGGGGGACAACAGCUCGAAAGGGAUGCUAAUACCGCAUACGUCCUACGGGAGAAAGCAGGGGAUCUUCGGACCUUGCGCUAAUAGCUGAGCCUAAGUCGGAUUAGCUAGUUGGUGGGGUAAAGGCCUACCAAGGCGACGAUCUGUAGCGGGUCUGAGAGGAUGAUCCGCCACACUGGGACUGAGACACGGCCCAGACUCCUACGGGAGGCAGCAGUGGGGAAUAUUGGACAAUGGGGGGAACCCUGAUCCAGCCAUGCCGCGUGUGUGAAGAAGGCCUUAUGGUUGUAAAGCACUUUAAGCGAGGAGGAGGCUACUUUAGUUAAUACCUAGAGAUAGUGGACGUUACUCGCAGAAUAAGCACCGGCUAACUCUGUGCCAGCAGCCGCCGUAA
rnacentral:rRNA from 1 species